ACUUAACGCCUGACAGAAAUGACAAGAAAUGUUUCUGCUUGUUUCGACGCUUUGCAUUCUGCUUUGGAUAACAAGUAAUUGCAGUGCCUUUUCUGUAAUGCAGUCGCAGAAGUUUGUCAGCAGAAAGCCUGAUGAGGCUGUUGUCCUCUCGUGUGAGCAUGACGGGGACAGCAGCUAUAACUACUACAUCUACUGGUACCGACAGCUCCGGGGUCGUGGUGGGCUGCAGCUCAUGACCUACUCCUAUGCCAACAACCCACCUAAUGAUGAACAGGAGUUCAAAGGAAGACUGAUCACCACCAGAGACGGUAAACAGAAAAGUAACAUCACAAUCAACAGUCUAAACGUUACCGACACCGGAACGUAUUUCUGUGCAGCAAGCACUGCACAGCGAGGCAGCUCCCCUAGAGACCUAACAGAAAACUCCCCGCUGGUGCUGCUAGUAAAUUUAAAACAACUUAUAACACACAGGAAAAUAAUGGCUCUGCACCAACUGCGAACUGCAUCUCCUGUUUAAAAGGAAAAAACAAAAGGCUUUACAGCUCCAACUACACAAACAGGGGUCGACUGCAUUUCUUACUUAAGUGUUUAUUUUCAUACCCCCUCAACCUGCAGAUAUUGAACAAAGGUGCAAAGGCUGUUGAAUAGCAGAUUGCUCAUUCUUUCCCUAUUCAAACACAACUUAGAUCGAUUGAUGGGAAUAAGGAAAGUUACCCCCAGGACUGCUUCCUGCAUUACUAAUGGAUGGUGGCAGCUCCUAAAUGCCGUAUCCUGCAGCAGGGUCCCUUUUUAGUACUCAGUAGCAUGAUCCCAGAAACAUUUAUUCACAAAUGGGAAGUAUGGGAAUAAAAAUUAUGGUAAAAGUACCUUGAACACCCAAUAGGAUUACACAGCUAGGCUUAAAUAGCUCUUCAGGGCAAUUAGCCUACUAGUAUUUAUUUGUAAACAGACCUGUAAUGUUGGUACUUUUUCGGCUUAUGUAGUGGGAACAUUCAUGGAACAGUACAAAAAAGAGUAAUUGAUUAUUUCUUCAUUGUUCUUCAGUAUCUAGUCCACAGACUAAAAUAUUACUUUGACAGCAGGUUCAGUACAAAGCUCUGCCAGAAGCAGGCUGUGUAAAACUGCAGUGAGGUUGAUAUUAACCCCAGAAGUCCAUCUAGCAUCUGAGCCUGGUUUUGAUGCUAAAUCCUGACCAAGAUGGUCAAGGUCAUGGCCU